rnacentral:rRNA from 1 species
CUACGUGCCAGCAGCCGCGGUAAUACGGAAGGUUCGGGCGUUAUCCGGAUUUAUUGGGUUUAAAGGGAGCGUAGGCCGGAGAUUAAGUGUGUUGUGAAAUGUAGACGCUCAACGUCUGACUUGCAGCGCAUACUGGUUUCCUUGAGUACGCACAACGUUGGCGGAAUUCGUCGUGUAGCGGUGAAAUGCUUAGAUAUGACGAAGAACUCCGAUUGCGAAGGCAGCUGACGGGAGCGCCACUGACGCUUAAGCUCGAAGGUGCGGGUAUCGAACAGGAUUAGAUACCCUGGUAGUCCGCACAGUAAACGAUGGAUGCCCGCUGUUGGUACCUGGUAUCAGCGGCUAAGCGAAAGCAUUAAGCAUCCCACCUGGGGAGUACGCCGGCAACGGUGAAACUCAAAGGAAUUGACGGGGGCCCGCACAAGCGGAGGAACAUGUGGUUUAAUUCGAUGAUACGCGAGGAACCUUACCCGGGCUUGAAUUGCAGAGGAAGGAUUUAGAGAUAG